rnacentral:rRNA from 1 species
UACGAAGGGCGCUAGCGUUGCUCGGAAUCAUUGGGCGUAAAGCGCACGUAGGCGGCCUCUUAAGUCGGUGGUGAAAUCCUGGAGCUCAACUCCAGAACUGCCUUCGAUACUGAGAGUCUCGAGUCCGAGAGAGGUGAGUGGAACUGCGAGUGUAGAGGUGAAAUUCGUAGAUAUUCGCAAGAACACCAGUGGCGAAGGCGGCUCACUGGCUCGGUACUGACGCUGAGGUGCGAAAGCGUGGGGAGCAAACAGG